GCUGUGUCCGUGGCCAUUCCCCGCCGCUGCCCCUCCGAGGUGCGCGGAGCUGCCCCGCCCCGCCCCGUCCCGUCCCGUCCCACGGCGGGGGCGAUGCUCCCCCCGCUGCGCUGCCCGCGGAUCCCUCCCUGCUGAUGCGCUUUAGACGGUUUGCCUGGUGCAAGAUCAUCCCCCGGACAGCCCCGCAUCCCGGCGGCAGCACCGAGCCUCGGCGAUGCGGCUCCAAGCCUGACCCUGCUGAGAGCCCCUGAGAUACUGAACUCUAUGAGCGGAGAUCACUUGACUGCACUCAGCACCUUUCAAGAUCAGGCUCUAGGAGAUGGUCAGAGGAGCGAAAGGAGCAUCACCAUUUUGAAACAAAACCAAGGGUACUGGUGAG